AAUAGAUACCCAGGUAGUCCAUGCCGUAAACGUUGGGCGCUAGAUGUGGGGACCAUUCCACGGUUUCCGUGUCGCAGCUAACGCAUUAAGCGCCCCGCCUGGGGAGUACGGCCGCAAGGCUAAAACUCAAAGGAAUUGACGGGGGCCCGCACAAGCGGCGGAGCAUGCGGAUUAAUUCGAUGCAACGCGAAGAACCUUACCAAGGCUUGACAUAUACGAGAACGCUCUAGAAAUAGAGAACUCUUUGGACACUCGUAUACAGGUGGUGCAUGGUUGUCGUCAGCUCGUGUCGUGAGAUGUUGGGUUAAGUCCCGCAACGAGCGCAACCCUCGUUCUAUGUUGCCAGCACGUCAUGGUGGGAACUCAUAGGAGACUGCCGGGGUCAACUUGGAGGAAGGUGGGGAUGACGUCAAAUCAUCAUGCCCCUUAUGUCUUGGGCUUCACGCAUGCUACAAUGGCCGGUACAAUGGGCUGCGAUACCGUAAGGUGGAGCGAAUCCCAAAAAGCCGGUCUCAGUUCGGAUUG
rnacentral:rRNA from 1 species